UACGUAGGGUGCGAGCGUUAAUCGGAAUUACUGGGCGUAAAGCGUGCGCAGGCGGUUUUGUAAGCCAGAUGUGAAAGCCCCGGGCUUAACCUGGGAAUGGCAUUUGGGACUGCAAGGCUUGAGUGCGGCAGAGGAGACUGGAAUUCCUGGUGUAGCAGUGAAAUGCGUAGAUAUCAGGAGGAAUACCGAUGGCGAAGGCAGGUCUCUGGGCUGACACUGACGCUCAUGCACGAAAGCGUGGGGAGCAAA
rnacentral:rRNA from 1 species